rnacentral:rRNA from 1 species
UUGGGAAUCUUGCACAAUGGGGGAAACCCUGAUGCAGCGACGCCGCGUGGAGGACGAAGGGUCUAGGCCUGUAAACUCCUUUUAUCGGGAAAGACUUAGGACGGUACCCGAUGAAUAAGCACCGGCUAACUACGUGCCAGCAGCCGCGGUAAGACGUAGGGUGCAAGCGUUGUCCGGAUUUACUGGGCGUAAAGAGCGCGUAGGCGGUCUGUUAAGUGUAGAGUGAAAUCUCCAGGGCUCAACCCGGAAACUGCUCUGCAUACUGGCAGACUUGAGGGUCGGAGAGGUAUGUGGAAUUCCUGGUGUAGCGGUGAAAUGCGUUGAUAUCAGGAGGAACACCCAUGGCGAAGGCAGCAAACUGGCCGACACCUGACGCUGAGGCGCGAAAGCGUGGGUAGCAAACAGGAUUAGAUACCCCGGUAGUCC